GACGUAGGGGGCCAGCGUUGUUCGGAAUUACUGGGUGUAAAGGGUUCGUAGGCGGUGUGGCAAGUCGGGAGUGAAAUCUCUGGGCUCAACCCAGAGGCUGCUUCCGAAACUGCUGUGUUUGAGUGUGGGAGAGGCGCGUGGAAUUGCAGGUGUAGCGGUGGAAAUGCGUAGAUAUCUGCAGGAACACCCGUGGCGAAAGCGGCGCGCUGGACCACUACUGACGCUGAAGAACGAAAGCUAGGGGAGCAAACAGG
rnacentral:rRNA from 1 species